GCCAUCGUUUCCACUUUUCCUUCAUCUAUAUGCCAUGAAGUGAUGGCUAAUAGAGUUCUACCAAGAGAAUGCACUAGUCAUAACAAACAUCCUCUUUCAGUAACACAAGAGAAGUCUCUACACAUGGACAUCACCAGAUGGUCGACACCGAAAUCAGAUGGAUUAUAUUAUUUGCAGCCAAAGAUGGAGAAGCUCUAUACAGUCAGCAAAAACAAGCCUGGGAG